AGGCUGUGCUCCUGAGACACUUACAGGACCACAGCCACUCCUGCAGGGCCAGGCUGGGAGAGACAAGUCUUCUCACAAGAUCGCUUCCCACACUGCGAGCCUGCCUGCUUACACUUGUGUAGGCAUCGUGGAGAGAGAGAUCCUGCAAACGCCAAGCUGCCUAAUCCCCUGGGAGGUUUAAAAUGUGAGCUGCAGUUUUCUCACUCUCCGUGGGCACUGGAGUCAGUCGUGCAACGUAUGGCAAUAGCUGUAUUCUCAUUUCACGUCUGUCAUGCAGAGAUAAUUAAAAUCUACACUUCCAUCUGAGGGGAACCGUAGGGUUUCCAGAUGGGUAACUGUAGUGCAUAUUUCAUACUGGAUUAUCACUUGCACCAAAAAGCCUUGCCUGUUGCCUUCCCACCUGUUGAGAUUAUUGAUGGGGCUGCCAUUGAAAAGCCCUCGUGGGCCCAGUGACAGGGGUCUGUGCAGCUCAUACAAGCCAACCUAACACCGCACAUCUCUGCUCAAUGUGGGGCUGACAUUGUGACACCCUUCCCAGAUGUCCACUCUUGGACAGCCCCUCCUGGCUCUCACAGCAGAAAGGAGCCACAGUGCACUGGCCUAACAUAAAAUACUGGCUGUGUUGGCCUGCAGCAUUAGCAAUGGUUAUAGUAUUGCAAAGGAGGGACAGCCAGCUCCACAAGGCUGCCAGUCGAGAGCUGCUUCAGUGUACUGAGCUGACCACCCACUUGGUGACAUUCCUGCAGAAAGGAAGGAUUGGGCAUCACUGUGCUGGAUGGAGCUUCUCAGUUUCAGAGAGAGCAGAGGCACAAUGCACGAAGCUGUGACACAACUGCUGCCAGAAAGCCACCUAGAAGGAAAAGCCUGACCCAUGAGAGGUUCUCAUGUACUGGCAGGGGUAGAACUGCCAGAAAAGUAACCCUGCCCAAAAGCUGCAUGGUCCUGCUGCACAGCUGGGGUCCAGAAAGCCCUGGUGGGGCUGGGAGUGCAGCGGGCCCACGCUCACUUCUGCAGACAAACAUGCCAGCCUCAGGCAGACAAAGGCUUUGAUAGUUUGCUGUUACUCAUGCAAAACACCACUGGCAUAUGCUCUUAAAUGCACUUCCCCAUUUGGUUUGGAGCUUCAAAAACCGCUAGGCUGACAUCAACAAUGAAAAAAAUUUAAUUCCACCCCCUCCCCUUUCUGAAUUUAGAAUGAUAAAGGACCAACAGUUAUGUCUGGAGCAGGGAAGCAGAUAUUACACACAUCUUGCUUACAAAAUAGCUCUGGUUUUCAUGAAACAAGUUUAUUUUCCUCCCCCAGCCAUUGAUGAGCACAUGACAACCGUAUAGAAUAAAAGCUCAACUCCUUAGUUCUGCUCACAUUCACUCAACAUUUGCUCUAAUCAAUUAUCUUAUUUCAUGCAGUAAGAAAAGAAUGAGAUUCCUGUUAUGCAGCCAUAAUCAGUUACAGUAUGAAGCUGUGUCUGUGGAACAUUUCUGAUUUUGAAAACUAAUCAUGUGCUCUGCCAUUACAUUUCUCUUGUAAAACACUGGGCUUUGACCCAACUUGUUUCUUCCCGCCUGCCCUUUGAAAACAUUGAGGGCACAGCCUGGUCUGAGAUCCCACAUUCCUUCCCUGCAGAAGCCAGCCAGAUUGCACUGCAAAGAACACAUUUGCUCAGGGAGACAGGAUCUGUUUUUCUGGUUUAUUGGAACAUAAAAGCACAAGCGGAUGUCCCCUGGGAGGCAGACAGGAGAGGAGAGGGUGCUGCAUGUGACAGCGGACGGCUGUCGGAGAGAAAAGUCACGUCUUCACACAAAGGGCUCAAUAUUGAUCUCUAGGACAGAGCAAGGCAUGGUGAGCUCAAACUUGGUGAUAACAUCAGGGUGUACGACUCCAAGCUUCCCAAUGCUCUGACCUUUGGCAAAGACCUCAGCACAGCGACCAGGAAAGAAAG